rnacentral:rRNA from 1 species
CUACGGGUCGCACCAGUGGGGAAUAUUGCACAAUGGGGGGAACCCUGAUGCAGCAACGCCGCGUGGAGGAUGACGCAUUUCGGUGUGUAAACUCCUUUUAUAUGUCAAGAAAAUGACGGUAGCAUAUGAAUAAGCACCGGCUAACUCCGUGCCAGCAGCCGCGGUAAUACGGAGGGUGCAAGCGUUCCUCGGAAUCACUGGGCGUAAAGGACGCGUAGGCGGGUUGGAAAGUCAGGUGUGAAAUCCUACAGCUUAACUGUAGAACUGCACUUGAAACUUCUAAUCUAGAGUAUGGGAGGGGGAGAUGGAAUUAGUGGUGUAGGGGUAAAAUCCGUAGAUAUCACUAGGAAUACCUAAAGCGAAGGCGAUCUCCUGGAACAUUACUGACGCUAAGGCGUGAAAGCGUGGGGAGCAAACAGGAUUAGAUACCCCAGUAGUC